rnacentral:rRNA from 1 species
CAGAGGCCUCGAGCGUUAGGCGGAAUCACUGGGCUUAAAGCGUGUGUAGGCGGAGUUCUAAGUACCUUGUGAAAUCCCACGGCUCAACCGUGGAACUGCUUGGUAUACUGCUUCUCUUGAGGUACCUAGGGGCGAGCGGAACAAGUGGUGGAGCGGUGAAAUGCGUAGAUAUCACUUGGAACGCCAACGGUGAAAACAGCUCGCUGGGGGGUAUCCUGACGCUGAGACACGAAAGCCAGGGGAGCAAACGGGAUUAGAUACCCCGGUAGUCCUGGCCCUAAACGAUGUCCACUAGAUCGUGGCACCUCUGACGGUGUCAUGGUCGAAGCAAAAGUGCUAAGUGGACCGCCUGGGAAGUACGGUCGCAAGGCUA